rnacentral:misc_RNA from 2 species
AACGCACAUUGCGCCCCGUGGUAUUCCGCGGGGCAUGCCUGUUCGAGCGUCAUUUAAACCAAUCCAGCUUGCUGGGUCUUGGGCCUCGCCUCUGGGCGGGCCUUAAAGUCAGUGGCGGCGCCACCCGGCUCUAAGCGUAGUAAUUCUUCUCGCUACAGAGCCCCGGGCGGAGGCUUGCCAGGCAACCCCUAAUUUUCAAAGGUUGACCUCGGAUCAGGUAGGGAUACCCGCUGAACUUAA